rnacentral:rRNA from 1 species
CGUGGGAACGUGCCCUUCACUACGGAAUAGUCCCCGGGAAACUUGGGUUUAAUACCGUAUACGCCCUUCGGGGGAAAGAAUUUCGGUGAAGGAUCGGCCCGCGUCUGAUUAGGUAGUUGGUGGGGUAACGGCCUACCAAGCCUACGAUCAGUAGCUGGUUUGAGAGGAUGAUCAGCCACACUGGGACUGAGACACGGCCCAGACUCCUACGGGAGGCAGCAGUGGGGAAUCUUAGACAAUGGGGGCAACCCUGAUCUAGCCAUGCCGCGUGAGUGACGAAGGCCCUAGGGUCGUAAAGCUCUUUCACCAGGGAAGAUAAUGACGGUACCUGGAGAAGAAACCCCGGCUAACUCCGUGCCAGCAGCCGCGGUAAUACGGAGGGGGUUAGCGUUGUUCGGAAUUACUGGGCGUAAAGCGCGCGUAGGCGGACUGUUAAGUCAGGGGUGAAAUCCCGGGGCUCAACCCCGGAACUGCCCUUGAUACUGGCAGUCUCGAGUUCGAGAGAGGUGAGUGGAACUCCGAGUGUAGAGGUGAAAUUCGUAGAUAUUCGGAAGAACACCAGUGGCGAAGGCGGCUCACUGGCUCGAUACUGACGCUGAGGUGCGAAAGUGUGGGGAGCAAACAGGAUUAGAUACCCUGGUAGUCCACACCGUAAACGAUGAAUGCCAGACGUCGGGCAGCAUGCUGUUCGGUGUCACACCUAACGGAUUAAGCAUUCCGCCUGGGGAGUACGGCCGCAAGGUUAAAACUCAAUGGAAUUGACGGGGGCCCGCACAAUCGGUGGAGCAUGUGGUUUAAUUAGAAGCAACGUGCUGAACCUUACCAACCCUUGUCAUCCUAGUUGUGGUUACCGGAGACGGUUUCCUUCAGUUAGGCUGGACGAGUGACAGGUGUUGCAUGGCAGUGGUCAGCUCGUGUCGUGAGAUGUUCGGUUAAGUCCGGCAACGAGCGCAACCCACACCCUUAGUUGCUAGCAGGUCCGGCCUGGGCACUCUAGGGGAACUGCCCGUGAUAAGCGGGAGGAAGGUGUGGAUGACGUCAAGUCCUCAUGGCCCUUACGGGUUG